UGUGAGGAGUGGGGUUCGAACCCAUGCUCUCUUUCGAGAACCAGAGCCUAAAUCUGGCGCAUUUGACAGCUCGGCCAUCCUGAC
rnacentral:tRNA from 13 species